UUUGAAAAUCUGAGAUGACAGUGUUGUUAACAAAAGUCUAAGCUUGAGAGCAAAUAUAUUUAUUUCAUUUCAUUUGCGAUUUUCAUGAAUAGUUAACGUUGCGUUAUGCUAAUGAGCUUGAGGCUAUAAAUAGAAUCCCGGAUCCGGGAUUGCGCGACGUAACAAGUUAACACCUUUUUUUGGUUGCUACAUGAUUCCAUAUUUGUCAUUUCAUUGUUUUGAUGUCUUCACUAUUAUUCUACUAGAUGGCUAGAAAUGCACACAUUUUGUGCUCUUGUAUGAAGCAAUCACUCCCCCAUUAUUGACUAGAAAUGAGCUAUAACUGGGCUAAUAACUCACCUACUAGUUUAGAAUAUGAAAAAAUGUGCACGUGGCUACAUGCAGCUCUCGCUUUCAUCUCAAAACAAGCGCAUCUACUCACUACCGCUCAUGCUGUAGCCUAAACACAGUCCAGUUUAACUUCAUGCGACGAGCAAUCCGGGAUCCUAGUUUUGCAUACUAUGUUCGUUUUGGUACGUAACAUUUAAAGUGAUUCGAUCACAAUUCCCACACUAGAGCGAAACGUAAAACUCUAGAAAGUUGAAGUUCAGUCUAGUGCUUCUCUGAGUGGGCUGAUACUUCUUCUGCACAGCAGUCGAGGGAAGCUGCUCGCCUGCGCUUGCAGCUUUGAGGGAACAUUGCUCCUGGGCCUGAGUGAGUAAUGCCAACCAGUCAGUGCCAUGCUGGCACGUGUCCCUUGUGAAUUAGCCAAUCAGAGAUCCUAAUUCACAGCUAUGUUCAACCGUGUGUUUAGUGUUGGCUUCUAUGACUGUAUGGUGACGGUCUGUGGUGACUGGAGCUGAAGUCGGGCUCCUUCAUGACCAGUAUCUAUGAUGAGUGGCCUGGAGCUGAUCUACACUGCCAUGCCCAUCAGGCAUUGGCAAACACCUCAGAAGGGACAGAAGAUGGGCAGAUAGAUGCUUUUUAAAUGGAGUCCUUUGACUGAAAGGUUGAUACUGAUGACUGUAUUGAGAGAGACCUUGCAAGACAAUUAAACAAGACACAUCUAU